UUUUUACGCAUCAAAUAAAGAGAAUGUGUCAACUUCUGUUUUCCACAAUAAAAGGCAAUUCACUGUGACCUUUAGUCAGACGUGCUGUUGUUCUGACUGUGGUGCAUCUCUAAACUCCCUGGGGUCAGUUACAAUGAGUUUGUCCGAGUCCCAAAUGGCACCCUAAUCCCUUUAUAGUGCACUACUUUUGCACAUUUCCCAGUUACAGUAAAGCACUUAGUAUCAAACAUUGACUAGAGGAUUUGUUUUUAAAUAAUUGGUAUAUUUCCAGUUUUGAGGAUAAUAUAGAAUUGGGAAUUGAAUUCUUGGAAUUUUACCUAACAUUGGAUUUGACACUACUGUAGCUAGGUCCCCUCUAGUUCAAAGCUACUGUCUGUUAGCUGCACCAUAGUUACUGUAGCUAGGUCCCCUCUAGUUCAAAGCUACUGUCUGUUAGCUGCACCAUAGUUACUGUAGCUAGGUCCCCUCUAGUUCAAAGCUACUGUCUGUUAGCUGUACCAUAGUUACUGUAGCUAGGUCCCCUCUAGUUCAACACUACUGUCUGUUAGCUGCACCAUAGUUACUGUAGCUAGGUCCCCUCUAGUUCAAAGCUACUGUCUGUUAGCUGCACCAUAGUUACUGUAGCUAGGUCCCCUCUAGUUCAAAGCUACUGUCUGUUAGCUGCACCAUAGUUACUGUAGCUAGGUCCCCUCUAGUUCAAAGCUACUGUCUGUUAGCUGCACCAUAGUUACUGUAGCUAGGUCCCCUCUAGUUCAAAGCUACUGUCUGUUAGCUGCACCAUAGUUACUGUAGCUAGGUCCCCUCUAGUUCAAAGCUACUGUCUGUUAGCUGCACCAUAGUUACUGUAGCUAGGUCCCCUCUAGUUCAACACUACUGUCUGUUAGCUGCACCAUAGUUACUGUAGCUAGGUCCCCUCUAGUUCAAAGCUACUGUCUGUUAGCUGCACCAUAGUUACUGUAGCUAGGUCCCCUCUAGUUCAAAGCUACUGUCUGUUAGCUGCACCAUAGUUACUGUAGCUAGGUCCCCUCUAGUUCAACACUACUGUCUGUUAGCUGCACCAUAGUUACUGUAGCUAGGUCCCCUCUAGUUCAAAGCUACUGUCUGUUAGCUGCACCAUAGUUACUGUAGCUAGGUCCCCUCUAGUUCAAAGCUACUGUCGGUCAGCUGCACCAUAGUUACUGUAACUAGGAAGAGUUUGAACCAGAACCAGCAGACUGGGUUGAGUAUUAGAAUAGGGAGUGUAAAACUUCUAAGAAUACCCCACCCAGUAGCUAACCCGUUGUCAAGUGGCAACUCUCCCGGCUGGUCACAUUCCACGCCACAGACUGGGUUCAAAUCCCACAUCCACUCUUCCUACUGUUCUCACAUCACAUUCCCCACCAGAGACUGGGUUUAAACCCCACAUCCACUCUUCCUACUGUUCUCUCAUCACAUUCCCCACCAGAGACUGGGUUUAAACCCCACAUCCACUCUUCCUACUGUUCUCUCAUCACAUUCCCCACCAGAGACUGGGUUUAAACCCCACAUCCACUCUUCUCACAUCACAUUCCCCACCAGAGACUGGGUUUAAACCCCACAUCCACUCUUCUCACAAUUGCCUGUCUCCACCUCUGUUUCCAACUGUAGUCUAGUGUAAAACACAUACUUUUUUUUAAUAUCCCAAAAGUGUAUGUGUU